rnacentral:rRNA from 1 species
GAUGAACGCUGGCGGCGUGCCUAAUACAUGCAAGUCGGGCGAACGGACGAGAAGCUUGCCUCUCUGAUGUUAGCGGCGGACGGGUGAGUAACACGUGGAUAACCUACCUAUAAGACUGGGAUAACUUCGGGAAACCGGAGCUAAUACCGGAUAAUAUUUUGAACCGCAUGGUUCAAAAGUGAAAGACGGUCUUGCUGUCACUUAUAGAUGGAUCCGCGCUGCAUUAGCUAGUUGGUAAGGUAACGGCUUACCAAGGCAACGAUGCAUAGCCGACCUGAGAGGGUGAUCGGCCACCCUGGAACUGAGACACGGUCCAGACUCCUACGGGAGGCAGCAGUAGGGAAUCUUCCGCAAUGGGCGAAAGCCUGACGGAGCAACGCCGCGUGAGUGAUGAAGGUCUUCGGAUCGUAAAACUCUGUUAUUAGGGAAGAACAUAUGUGUAAGUAACUGUGCACAUCUUGACGGUACCUAAUCAGAAAGCCACGGCUAACUACGUG